rnacentral:rRNA from 1 species
GUGGGGAAUAUUGGGCAAUGGGCGCAAGCCUGACCCAGCAACGCCGCGUGAGGGAAGAAGGCUUUCGGGUUGUAAACCUCUGUCCUUGGUGACGAAACAAAUGACAGUACCAUAUGAGGAAGCUCCGGCUAACUACGUGCCAGCAGCCGCGGUAAUACGUAGGGAGCAAGCGUUGUCCGGAAUUACUGGGCGUAAAGGGUGCGUAGGCGGCAUGUUAAGUUAGAUGUCAAAUACCCGGGCUUAACCCGGGGACGCAUCUAAAACUGGCGUGCUUGAGUGCAGGAGAGGAAAGCGGAAUUCCUAGUGUAGCGGUGGAAUGCGUAGAUAUUAGGAGGAACACCAGUGGCGAAGGCGGCUUUCUGGACUGUAACUGACGCUGAAGCACGAAAGCGUGGGGAGCAAACAGGAUUAGAAACCCUGGUAGUCC